UGGCGAUGUCAUGCUUAUAAUUGAAAUGCCAUGCUGGAGCCUCGGUGGGUGGAGUCUGGUGGAAACCGUCAGAACUGGUCUCUCCAGCUGGAUGCUUAGCCAUUUCAGAGCCACCCCAUGCUCUGGGUGGCCCUAAGCCUCUGACUGGGAGUGGAUGACAGGGGUGGAUCACUCGCUAACUGGGAUCCGAAAAUUGCAUGUGCAAGAAGAAUACUAUUGCUGAAAAAUCUGGCCCAAAAGCGUCUCUGGCCAAAAGCAGACGGAAGCUCUGUUGAUGUUACUGGUGUCUGAUUAUGCAUGAAGAGGUGAAUACAGAUGGGAGCAGAGGACUGGCCAGAGUGGAUCAGACCAAUGGACCAUUUGGUUUCACAUCCUGGC